GUGACGUCUUUUACACGUGCAUUUAUAGUCCAUCAUGACCCUCUAUAAAAAAUCAUAAACCUUCUAUAAAGUCAUUGUGAAAUAUGCAAAUGCUGUGCCUACACCUUGGUUAAUACUGCAAUAAUUAAUUUAAGUGCAAAAAGUAGGUUUUUAAGAGGUUGUGAAUAGACGUCCACUGACGUCUUUUACACGUCUAGACUAGACUAGUAGGAAAAAAACAGGAUAAUCUUUAUGAAAUACACGAUUUGUAUACAAAGUAAAUAUAUUAACUUUAUCUUGUUUAAAUAAAUUAUAAUCACAAAGUGCCCAGUGUGAUUGCAAAGCCACACUGCAUUUUAGUCAUUAUUCCAACCUGUUUUAUUAUUGAAUGUAUGCAUAUAAAUGUAAAACAGAUACAUAUCCGGUCACCAUUUAGGUCUGAGUUGGAUGUUAUUUCAAAAACUGUGCUAUUAAUUUAAGAAAUAUAGUGAUAAAUCUGGGGAUAUUACAAAAUCCCGCGAUAGGACAGAUUAUCUCGCGAGAUAGUGGUGACGUCACGCGUUCUUCCGGAAGUUCACAUUCAAACACGAGGAGCGAUUACGAGGGAGUUUUGUCUAUAUAUCAUUCAAAAUCUACUGUUCGGAAAAGCAGAACCUCAUCCAAAUAAAAAUAAACAAGCUGUUAAAGGCACUGUGUCCUACACAGACCCUCCAAAUUAUAACCACCCAAAACCCAAGUCAGUUGAAGGUCAACACAAACCAAAUAAAGAUGUGCAUUCUACAAACAAUAAAAAAAGAUCAAGUUUUGUGUCCACCACACUUAGAUGAGGCGUGCCCGACCCCUGACUUUGUCUACCCUACAUUAAGUUGCACACUUCAUGACAGUAAACAUCGGUAUCACAAUGGUGUGAUUGAUCUAUACCCUAGAAUAAGCUGUGACACUAUGAGACGUGAGGUAACACAACGAAAAAAUUACCGGAUGGAGACUACCUGAUUCUUCACCUAUGGCCUCAGCUUCAAAUGCAACAUGUCCAGCAACUGUCUGAGUUGGUGGAUAUUCUGUCAGAGACUGCGUGAACAACGUUAUGAACAGAAUGAUGUCAAAUUGUCUUAUGGCAAAGUUCAAUAUGAGGGGUGGUGGACAUCUGGAAAAGAAGUCUUUUAAAGGCACACCUUUGUAUUAUGUUAUUCAAGAUGCUGUGAAGAGGUGGAGCCCAAAUGCCACAGACUCGGAAAUAGAUGCAGCUAUGGCAGACCACCUCAUGCACGCUCCAGGAAGAGCUGGGGGUGGUGGAUACAAAAAAGCCAAACAGCUGUGAUGUGUUAAAGAGAGAGUUCACCAAAAAAGGAAAAUUGUUAUAAUUUUCUUAUCCACAUGUUUCAAACCUGUAUACCUUUAUAUUUUCUGCUGAACACAAAGAUUGAAGAAUGUUUGUAACUUCACAA